UCUGGAGACAGGUGCUGCAUGGCUGUCGUCAGCUCGUGUCGUGAGAUGUUGGGUUAAGUCCCGCACGAGCGCAACCCUUGCCUUUAGUUGCCAGCAGUUCGGCUGGGCACUCUAAAGGGACUGCCGGUGUUAAACCGGAGGAAGGUGGGGAUGACGUCAAGUCCUCAUGGCCUUUAUGACCAGGGCUACACACGUACUACAAUGGCCGAUACAAAGGGCAGCGACACUGCGAGGUGAAGCCAAUCCCGUAAAAUCGGUCUCAGUCCGGAUUGGAGUCUGCAACUCGACUCCAUGAAGUUGGAAUCGCUAGUAAUCGUGGAUCAGCAUGCCACGGUGAAUACGUUCCCGGGCCUU
rnacentral:rRNA from 1 species